rnacentral:piRNA from 1 species
UUAACGGUAGAGCAAACAUUC